CAAUCGCGUAUAUUAAAGUUGUUGCAGUUAAAAAGCUCGUAGUUGGAUUUGUGGCGUACGGUGUGUUCCGGGCACUUGUUGUCUGAGUAACCUGCUGUUGCCAUCCUUGGGUGGAACCUGUGUGGCAUUAGGUUGUCGUGCAGGGGAUGCCCAUCAUUUACUGUGAAAAAAUUAGAGUGUUCAAAGCAGGCUUAUGCCGUUGAAUAUAUUAGCAUGGAAUAAUGAGAUAGGACUUUUUUGCUAUUUUGUUGGUUUGCGCAAAGAGGUAAUGAUUAAUAGGGACAGUUGGGGGUAUUCGUAUUCCAUUGUCAGAGGUGAAAUUCUUGGAUUUUUGGAAGACGAACUACUGCGAAAGCAUUUACCAAGGAUGUUUUCAUUAA
rnacentral:rRNA from 1 species